rnacentral:rRNA from 1 species
AUACGGAGGGUGCAAGCGUUACUCGGAAUCACUGGGCGUAAAGCGCGCGCAGGCGGCUUGAUAAGUUGGAUGUGAAAGCCUACGGCCCAACCGUAGAACUGCAUCCAAAACUGUCAAGCUAGAGUCUGGGAGGGGAAGAUGGAAUUAGUUGUGUAGGGGUAAAAUCCGUAGAGAUAACUAGGAAUACCAAAAGCGAAGGCGAUCUUCUGGAACAGUACUGACGCUGAGGCGCGAAAGCGUGGGGAGCAAACAGGAUUAGAAACCCUUGUAGUCC